GGGAGAGCUGGGAUUUGGAGUCGGUACUACUGGGUCAGAAUUAGUCGAAGCCGUUGAAAAACUUGCGGAUAACUUGGGUCUGGUUAAACCUGUUCUUAACAUUCUCUGCCCCAUGCUCGGUCCACUAUUUGCCUCAAAAUGUGUAGAUAAGCUCAUCGGC